GGCCAGACUCCUACGGGAGGCAGCAGUGAGGAAUAUUGGUCAAUGGGCGGAAGCCUGAACCAGCCAAGUCGCGUGAGGGAAGACUGCCCUAUGGGUUGUAAACCUCUUUUGUCAGGGAGCAACGCCGGCUACGUGUAGCCGGACUGAGAGUACCUGAAGAAAAAGCAUCGGCUAACUCCGUGCCAGCAGCCGCGGUAAUACGUAGGGUGCGAGCGUUAAUCGGAAUUACUGGGCGUAAAGGGUGUGCAGGCGGCUGAGUAAGACAGAUGUGAAAUCCCCGGGCUUAACCUGGGAACCGCAUAUGUGACUGCUUGGCUAGAGUGCGUCAGAGGGAGGUGGAAUUCCACGUGUAGCAGUGAAAUGCGUAGAUAUGUGGAAGAACACCGAUGGCGAGGGCAGCCUCCUGGGACGCAACUGACGCUCAUACACGAAAGCGUGGGGAGCAAACAGGAUUAGAUACCCUGGUAUC
rnacentral:rRNA from 1 species